UUUUAUAUUAAAUAAUUUGUAUACUUUUGCAAACUCAAUACAUUUAAGGUCAAACACAUGAUUUUUGACAUCUCAAAACAUUUAAGUUAUACAUAAGUUCAGAUAAAUGUUUUGAAUAGAUUAGAUGAUUAGUUCACAACAUGUCUACGAUCAGCAAGGCCUGAAUCUAACCUAACCUGAAUAUGUCAAAUAUUUUACGAAUCGGUUUAUAAUCAUGAUGAUGACAAGGUAUCUACAGAAAAUAAGCAGACAAAGAAAAACAUUUACGUUUAACUUUUUCAACAGUUAUGCGUUUAUAGACAAUUGUGGAUCCCAAAGAACAAAUCCGUACUCAAGUAUAGGUCGGACUAAAGAGCAAAAAAGGAUCUUUAAUGAAAGAUCUAAUUUGAAUUCAAAAGAGAUACGUAUAAUAAAACCAAGAAUUUUAAAUGUUUCCAUCAGAUCCACCUAAUCUAACCCUAAUUUAGGAGAUAUAUUUGGUAGAUAAUUAUUUUUGAGGUAUUAUUGUUAAUAUCUAUUUUACAAAUAAAAUAUUGCCUUAAUUACACACACAUAAUAUAUGUACACAUUCUUUAUUGAUUAUUGUUAAUAAAUAAUGUAUGUAUAGGUAUAAUAUAGUCUUUGAUUGUUAUUUAUUUUUCGUUUAUUAAAUUAUGAAACUCUUCCUCAAAUUGUACGAAAGAAUAAUUUUGUUUUAUUAUGCUAUUGUUCGGAUAAAGAAAUGAGAAUCACUCACUACAGUAAUGCCAGUGUUGUUUGUUUUCGGUAAAUUUAUCCCGAGGGAAUAAUCUAACGGGGGUGAACGCAAUUCAUUUAUUCCCCAGCUUCUUCCUUUUUUUCCCUAUCGCUCCCAUUGAAGUCUUAGGACAAGUUUCUCGUUAGGAUAUUUUCUUCUGCAACAGAAUCGUUUUAUUUUUAUCGCAAACGGCUCAUCUUUACCCCAAGUGCUUUUGCUUGUUUUUUUUUUUUUUUUUUAACGAAUUUGCUUUGGAAUUAAGUUUAUUCGGGUUGAACGCUCUUGAAAGCGUUUUUAAUAAGAAUUACCUGAAAAAUAAAGAGAGAACAAGAAAAAAAACCGUUGCUUAUAGGUAUAAGGAUUAUUCCUGUUGAUCGUAAAAUACAUACGUAUCUCUUG